ACCAUGUUGUCUCGAUGUUAAAGAACUUAGUCAUUCUGCAAAAAUUGAAGCGCGUUCCUUGUUUAAAAAGAAUUCAAUUAGAGCAAAUGAUAUUAAGAACAUUACAUUUGCUAGAAAAACUAAUUGAACAGAUGAAGCAGGGCACAGUUCCAUGGGGUGAACUUUGUGAUGAUACUGAGGGAACUAAAGGGUUAAAACUUG